GGAUGAAUCACCUCCUUUCUAGGGAAUUGUCGGAUCAUGAUCAUCUUCAGUUUUGAAAGACUUAGAGUAGAAUAAGUUUUUCUUUUGGCGUAGAGGAAGGGCCUAUAGCUCAGUUGGUAGAGCACACGCUUGAUAAGGCGUGCGGUCAAUGGUUUCAAGUCCAUUUAGGCCCCACCCAUACCAUAUUCCUCUUAUUCAAAAAGUUCUUUGAAAAGUAGAUAAACAAAGUCUCUAAUGACACACCAAUGAAGGAAAUAAGGGCGUACAGUGGAUGCCUUGGCACUAAGAGCCGAUGAAGGACGCAAUUAACGGCGAUACGCCAUGGGGAGUUGUAAAUAAAUGGAGAUCCAUGGAUUUCCGAAUGGGGCAACCUACUACAAUUACCUUGUAGUUUUUUGAUGGUAAUAUCGAAAAGGAAGACGCAGUGAACUGAAAUAUCUAAGUAACUGCAGGAAAAGAAAGUAAUAACGAUUCUGGUAGUAGUGACGAGCGAAUCCGGACCAGCCUGAUACGAAGUCUAGUUACAAAAUUUGUGUUACCUUGAAGUUUUUGGAAAAAAAUACCCCAGAAGGUGAGAGUCCUGUAAAGGGAAAGUACAAAUCUAGCGUAUCAUCAAGUACAACGAGACACGAGAAAUCUUGUUGGAAGAUGGGAGGACCAUCUCCUAAGGCUAAAUACUCCUUAGUGACCGAUAGUGAACUAGUACCGUGAGGGAAAGGCGAA
rnacentral:sRNA from 1 species